CUACAUCUUCCCAGCAAUUAAAGAAUCCUCCUCCUGCAUUCAAGUCGACUACACAUUCAAGAGGAGACCCGAAGUUUAAGAAGCCAUUCCUCUUCUCCAACUUAAAAGCGUUUGAGGGCUUCUAAACUCUUUUCAGAUUAUAUUGUUUUCCAUCUGCUUUUGAGAAGCUUAGUUUUCUGUUUGUCUAUUUUAUUUACAACUUGUAU
rnacentral:lncRNA from 1 species